AAGAAAUCCCACCCCGAACCCCACGUUCUCCCACCUCUCCAUCGCUCUCUCCGUGAUCCCCGCCGCCGCCAUCCCCGCCCCCGAAUCGCCAUCUACCUCUAUCCACCCCGCGCGCCGGCGCCGCCGCGACCCUCGCACCUCCCCACGCGCCACCGCCGCUCUACCUCUCCCCCACCCGAGUCUGGCUUCCUACCGCCGCCACGCGGAUCUAGCCGCCGCACAGGAUCCCACCGCCGCGUUCGUCGCUUGCUGGGCCCGACGACGCGUCGAAAGCCGACCCGUCUGUGAUCUCCGGCCAACGAGGCGCGACGGCCACCCCUCCCCCUGUUUCCACGGCGCUCGACCCGGUUGCCCGUCGCCGGCGCUCCUCCUCCCCGACCCCUUCUUCCCUGAUCCACCCCGCCUCCACCUCCGGUGACGCGGUCCACUAGCCUCCUUCCCCGGCGUGAGCCACCAGCCCGACCCUCGCCGGCGUGAUGCCCCUGCGCGCCGCCGUGGCACAGGCCCCCACAAGGGAUCCAGCCGCGACGUACUGCUCAAAAGCGAAGGACAACGACGAGAUUCUCUCCUUCGGCGCCAGCGUCGUCGCUCUCGGCUACCUACUGCGUCAAGGACAUUCAUAGGCCACGAAUCCAGCGGGUGCUAGCACGUCGGAAGUGGUGCUGCCACAGUGAGUUACUCCAUCAGAUUCAACAAAAAUAUUGGCAGCAGUUCCACCGAUACAUGCCUGGAAGGAAAACUUCGUAUGAGCACAAGUCCCACCACCCCUACAGCGAGUCUCCGGCUUCUCAGGGAGUCGACGAGGUCACCUGGGCUCCUGCGAGAAGGAUGACAGGGUCAGCAAGAACGCAGAUAUCAUCAAGAUGGCCAGGAUUGGAGCGGCUUGAUCUGGCUCACUCCAGCGGAUCCUCUCCUCUGUCGCUCUUGCCGGCCAAGCCAAGCUGGACAUGGAUGUGUGGGUGUGCAUGCUCACUUUGAAGUCCGUUCUGGGCGACUCAAUGUGUGUGCUCACUGUGUGGGUCGCCAUCUCUCGAUCCUGCCAAGCUACACCAGCACUUGUUGUUUCCUCUCCCUGCUACAAUCAGUGUUGUGAGCAACGUACAAGAUGGAGGCAUGGAGCUGGCGUCUGGAUAUGGGAAGGGAGCUGCUACUGCACUUGGCCUGCUCAACAGCUGCCGUUGUGCCUGUACUUGGACGGCUGCAGAUAGUGCAACCGAACGUCCGUGUGUGUUUUUGGAAUCCCAUUUUUAUAGUUGAUGCUAAUGAACAUUCGUCCACGUUCUUUUGUAGUGUUGGUAUUUACUGGAAACAAUCAUUGGUUUUCAAUUGGUCAUUUCUUGUACUAGAACAUCAGGUGUUUGUGCUAAUGUCCGUGAGACAAAAUCUAUGAAACAAUAUGCGGAGUAGUACUAAA